rnacentral:rRNA from 1 species
GAUGAACGCUGGCGGCGUGCCUAAUACAUGCAAGUCGAGCGAACGGACGAGGAGCUUGCUCCUCUGACGUUAGCGGCGGACGGGUGAGUAACACGUGGAUAACCUACCUAUAAGACUGGGAUAACUUCGGGAAACCGGAGCUAAUACCGGAUAAUAUAUUGAACCGCAUGGUUCAAUAGUGAAAGACGGUUUUGCUGUCACUUAUAGAUGGAUCCGCGCCGCAUUAGCUAGUUGGUAAGGUAACGGCUUACCAAGGCAACGAUGCGUAGCCGACCUGAGAGGGUGAUCGGCCACACUGGAACUGAGACACGGUCCAGACUCCUACGGGAGGCAGCAGCAGGGAAUCUUCCGCAAUGGGCGAAAGCCUGACGGAGCAACGCCGCGUGAGUGAUGAAGGUCUUCGGAUCGUAAAACUCUGUUAUUAGGGAAGAACAAAUGUGUAAGUAACUAUGCACGUCUUGACGGUACCUAAUCAGAAAGCCACGGCUAACUACGUG